UUAAGCGACUAAGCGUACACGGUGGAUGCCCUGGCAGUCAGAGGCGAUGAAGGACGUGCUAAUCUGCGAUAAGCGUCGGUAAGGUGAUAUGAACCGUUAUAACCGGCGAUUUCCGAAUGGGGAAACCCAGUGUGUUUCGACACACUAUCAUUAACUGAAUCCAUAGGUUAAUGAGGCGAACCGGGGGAACUGAAACAUCUAAGUACCCCGAGGAAAAGAAAUCAACCGAGAUUCCCCCAGUAGCGGCGAGCGAACGGGGAGCAGCCCAGAGCCUGAAUCAGUGUGUGUGUUAGUGGAAGCGUCUGGAAAGGCGCGCGAUACAGGGUGACAGCCCCGUACACAAAAAUGCACAUGCUGUGAGCUCGAUGAGUAGGGCGGGACACGUGGUAUCCUGUCUGAAUAUGGGGGGACCAUCCUCCAAGGCUAAAUACUCCUGACUGACCGAUAGUGAACCAGUACCGUGAGGGAAAGGCGAAAAGAACCCCGGCGAGGGGAGUGAAAAAGAACCUGAAACCGUGUACGUACAAGCAGUGGGAGCCUCUUUUAUGGGGUGACUGCGUACCUUUUGUAUAAUGGGUCAGCGACUUAUAUUCUGUAGCAAGGUUAACCGAAUAGGGGAGCCGAAGGGAAACCGAGUCUUAACUGGGCGUUAAGUUGCAGGGUAUAGACCCGAAACCCGGUGAUCUAGCCAUGGGCAGGUUGAAGGUUGGGUAACACUAACUGGAGGACCGAACCGACUAAUGUUGAAAAAUUAGCGGAUGACUUGUGGCUGGGGGUGAAAGGCCAAUCAAACCGGGAGAUAGCUGGUUCUCCCCGAAAGCUAUUUAGGUAGCGCCUCGUGAAUUCAUCUCCGGGGGUAGAGCACUGUUUCGGCAAGGGGGUCAUCCCGACUUACCAACCCGAUGCAAACUGCGAAUACCGGAGAAUGUUAUCACGGGAGACACACGGCGGGUGCUAACGUCCGUCGUGAAGAGGGAAACAACCCAGACCGCCAGCUAAGGUCCCAAAGUCAUGGUUAAGUGGGAAACGAUGUGGGAAGGCCCAGACAGCCAGGAUGUUGGCUUAGAAGCAGCCAUCAUUUAAAGAAAGCGUAAUAGCUCACUGGUCGAGUCGGCCUGCGCGGAAGAUGUAACGGGGCUAAACCAUGCACCGAAGCUGCGGCAGCGACGCUUAUGCGUUGUUGGGUAGGGGAGCGUUCUGUAAGCCUGCGAAGGUGUGCUGUGAGGCAUGCUGGAGGUAUCAGAAGUGCGAAUGCUGACAUAAGUAACGACAAAGCGGGUGAAAAGCCCGCUCGCCGGAAGACCAAGGGUUCCUGUCCAACGUUAAUCGGGGCAGGGUGAGUCGACCCCUAAGGCGAGGCCGAAAGGCGUAGUCGAUGGGAAACAGGUUAAUAUUCCUGUACUUGGUGUUACUGCGAAGGGGGGGACGGAGAAGGCUAUGUUGGCCGGGCGACGGUUGUCCCGGUUUAAGCGUGUAGGCUGGUUUUCCAGGCAAAUCCGGAAAAUCAAGGCUGAGGCGUGAUGACGAGGCACUACGGUGCUGAAGCAACAAAUGCCCUGCUUCCAGGAAAAGCCUCUAAGCAUCAGGUAACAUCAAAUCGUACCCCAAACCGACACAGGUGGUCAGGUAGAGAAUACCAAGGCGCUUGAGAGAACUCGGGUGAAGGAACUAGGCAAAAUGGUGCCGUAACUUCGGGAGAAGGCACGCUGAUAUGUAGGUGAAGUCCCUCGCGGAUGGAGCUGAAAUCAGUCGAAGAUACCAGCUGGCUGCAACUGUUUAUUAAAAACACAGCACUGUGCAAACACGAAAGUGGACGUAUACGGUGUGACGCCUGCCCGGUGCCGGAAGGUUAAUUGAUGGGGUCAGCGCAAGCGAAGCUCUUGAUCGAAGCCCCGGUAAACGGCGGCCGUAACUAUAACGGUCCUAAGGUAGCGAAAUUCCUUGUCGGGUAAGUUCCGACCUGCACGAAUGGCGUAAUGAUGGCCAGGCUGUCUCCACCCGAGACUCAGUGAAAUUGAACUCGCUGUGAAGAUGCAGUGUACCCGCGGCAAGACGGAAAGACCCCGUGAACCUUUACUAUAGCUUGACACUGAACAUUGAGCCUUGAUGUGUAGGAUAGGUGGGAGGCUUUGAAGUGUGGACGCCAGUCUGCAUGGAGCCGACCUUGAAAUACCACCCUUUAAUGUUUGAUGUUCUAACGUUGACCCGUAAUCCGGGUUGCGGACAGUGUCUGGUGGGUAGUUUGACUGGGGCGGUCUCCUCCUAAAGAGUAACGGAGGAGCACGAAGGUUGGCUAAUCCUGGUCGGACAUCAGGAGGUUAGUGCAAUGGCAUAAGCCAGCUUGACUGCGAGCGUGACGGCGCGAGCAGGUGCGAAAGCAGGUCAUAGUGAUCCGGUGGUUCUGAAUGGAAGGGCCAUCGCUCAACGGAUAAAAGGUACUCCGGGGAUAACAGGCUGAUACCGCCCAAGAGUUCAUAUCGACGGCGGUGUUUGGCACCUCGAUGUCGGCUCAUCACAUCCUGGGGCUGAAGUAGGUCCCAAGGGUAUGGCUGUUCGCCAUUUAAAGUGGUACGCGAGCUGGGUUUAGAACGUCGUGAGACAGUUCGGUCCCUAUCUGCCGUGGGCGCUGGAGAACUGAGGGGGGCUGCUCCUAGUACGAGAGGACCGGAGUGGACGCAUCACUGGUGUUCGGGUUGUCAUGCCAAUGGCACUGCCCGGUAGCUAAAUGCGGAAGAGAUAAGUGCUGAAAGCAUCUAAGCACGAAACUUGCCCCGAGAUGAGUUCUCCCUGACCCUUUAAGGGUCCUGAAGGAACGUUGAAGACGACGACGUUGAUAGGCCGGGUGUGUAAGCGCAGCGAUGCGUUGAGCUAACCGGUACUAAUGAACCGUGAGGCUUAACCUU
rnacentral:rRNA from 1 species